rnacentral:rRNA from 1 species
UACGAAGGGGGCUAGCGUUGCUCGGAAUCACUGGGCGUAAAGGGUGCGUAGGCGGGUCUUUAAGUCAGGGGUGAAAUCCUGGAGCUCAACUCCAGAACUGCCUUUGAUACUGAGGAUCUUGAGUUCGGGAGAGGUGAGUGGAAACUGCGAGUGUAGAGGUGAAAUUCGUAGAUAUUCGCAAGAACACCAGUGGCGAAGGCGGCUCACUGGCCCGAUACUGACGCUGACGGCACGAAAGCGUGGGGAAGCAAACAGGGAUUAAGAUAACCCUACGUACGU